UACGUAGGGGGCAAGCGUUGUCCGGAAUCAUUGGCGUAAAGAGCGCGUAGGCGGUCCGGUAAGUCCGCUCUGAAAGUCCGGGGCUCAACCCCGGGAGGCGGCGGAUACUGCCGGGCUAGAGUCCGGAAGAGGCGAGUGGAAUUCCUGGUGUAGCGGUGAAAUGCGCAGAUAUCAGGAGGAACACCGAUGGCGAAGGCAGCUCGCUGGGACGGUACUGACGCUGAGGCGCGAAAGCGUGGGGAGCAAACAGG
rnacentral:rRNA from 1 species